AUGGCAGUUUGGGGGCUUGGAGCCCACCAGCUCUCGGCUCCACCGAGCCCUACUCUAAACAGGACGAUGUGCCAGAUGAUGCCCAGGCCCCUGAGUCCCCCGGGACCCUCGGGCUGGUGCAGCCAGCGGAGCCCCGGCACCCGGGCUUGCGUCUCAGGGACGCGGUCCGCACCGCGCUGUGCCGGUGCGUGCCUGUCAGGGAGGUGGUCCAGGGGCGCCAGCUGCUGCCCGGGGCUCCCGCUGCCUCCGCCCCUUCUUUCAGCCAUCCUCUCAUUCCACGUAAAGAGCCUCACUCAGGCGGGAAGCGAGCCCACCUCCUGCCUCAGUCCUGCAGGGCAGGGCGUCAUUUCUGGCUCCUCUUCCUUCUGGCUGCCACCUGGCACACCCCACCCUCUGGGUCCCACUGGCCCUCCUUCCCACAUCAUCCAGGCCCUUGGGGACACGCCCAGAGACCUCGGAGGAGGGGGAGUGCCAUCCCACCCCAGGCUGCCCAGCCUGCUCAUCAGCUUCUUUCUGGUGAGGAUGCUACUGCGUUUCAGCCCUGGGUUCGAGGCACAUUCCAGGUGCGGCAGGAUGACCCGGAGCCCACGCCUGGCGGCCAGUCUGUCCACCCUGGCCUCCGUCUCUGGAGGCUGUUUGCUGGCGGCUUGCCUAGUGCCCACCCCGUGCACCCGGGCACACAGGGCGCCCUGCAGCCUCUGCAGCAAACGCGUCUUCUGUCUUCUCCACGGCUUCCCAGACUCACCUCCCUCCCAUUGCAGCCGCCCCACUCCAGGAGCCGGAUUGGGUUCCCCUUGCUGUGCCCUGACCCUCAAAGCCACUGCAGAGAGCCUGGUGAGUGUGUGUGUGUGUGUGAGAGACAGUGUAUUGAGGUCAGAGGAGAUAUCACACAGUGUAGAGCAUUUCAGUUCUCGAAAAUCACCAGUCACACCCAAAAUUCACCAAUUACCCACCCCCAGGUCCGGAUGUGUGUCUUCUGAAUAUUAUAAAUCACCAGGCGCCCCCAGAUCGGAAUGUGUGUCUUCCCCUGCCCCCCGCCCCGGCUAG
ensembl:lncRNA